AUCACCAAAUGUCAAACACAGGGCAGCUGGGAAAAACAAGAAGGAAAUGCAUGAGGCACGUAAAGAAAAGACUUGGAAGAGACCAAGGAGGGACAGGAAGGAAUGCUUCCUCAACUUCCUCCUCACACCCGGACAGGAAGCCGGAGACCUAGUGGCUGAGCCUUGGAAGAAGCGGCUACCUUUUCCCCCCCACAAGAGCGGGUGAGCUUGGAUGUUGGAUGAAUGAGAAGGGUCUGAAUCUUGCUGGGUCCCAGGGAGACCCUGUUAAUAAUAACAAACUCA
rnacentral:lncRNA from 1 species